UACGUAGGGGGCAAGCGUUGUCCGGAUUUAUUGGGCGUAAAGAGCGUGUAGGCGGCCAUGCAGGUCAGCUGUGAAAACUCGAGGCUCAACCUCGAGACGUCGGUUGAAACCGUAUGGCUAGAGUCCGGAAGAGGAGAGUGGAAUUCCCGGUGUAGCGGUGAAAUGCGCAGAUAUCGGGAAGAACACCUAUGGCGAAGGCAGCUCUCUGGGACGGUACUGACGGCUGAGACGCGAAAGCGUGGGGAGCGAACAGG
rnacentral:rRNA from 1 species